rnacentral:lncRNA from 1 species
CUGCCUUAGAGAACUGGGCCGGGAGAAUGGGCUGAGAGCCUUCGUGCACAUAGGUCGCCGCCGCUUCUAGCUUUUCUCCGUGUCACAUUCGGCGGCUGCGCAACGGAGGGGCUUUACCGGCGGCGAGAGCGCUAGGUUGCCGCGCCGCCUACUCUCCGGCGGAGCCUUGGCUCCCGCGUCGUCCUCCCCCUCUGGUAUGCAAGCACUCCCCUGAGCUGUCCUCGUCCUCCUCCUCCUCCCCUCUAGUAUACCCAUCAGUAGCAGUGAUUAUUCACUUGUUGGUAGUAGUAGUAGCACCACCACUGAUUUGUAUCCAUUUGCAAUGCACUAAAAGCUGGCGAUGUUCUGCUCUUGAAAUGGACUGAUAGGUUAAUCUCCAUUUGCAAUGCACCCAUCUGUUUAUAUUCCUUUGAAGAAUAGAUAUUUUAGCUAGCUCCAUUAGUUGAUCUUUUCUGUAGAAUGGAAACCAACGGUGGUUUCUUUGUGAACUUGAUCUGUAGGUUCCGUACAUUAGUUCGUUUAGUCAGUGGAUUCACGAACCCAUGAUGUCUAUCGAUUUGUUUCUUGUCAGAUUUUUUUCUCUUUCUUUGUCAUUUCGAUGUUUUCUUUGAUUAAUCCCCAUCUGCUCAAUGCGUUUACCUGUUCGACCUGCUUUUGCCGACCAAUCCUUCUUCAUGCAUUGCAGGCUAACGUUCUCCGCAGCUUCACCUGAUGGAGAAUCUCCCCGGUGAGCGGAACCCGGUGAGGCCGCCUCACCGACGAUCUCGUCAUCGAGAUCCUCCGC